rnacentral:miRNA from 1 species
GUGUGUGUGUGUGUGUGUGUGUGUGUGUGUGUUUGUAUACAAGCACACAAACACACACACACACACACACACACACACUG